UAGGGAAUAUUGGACAAUGGGGGCAACCCUGAUCCAGCCAUGCCGCGUGAGUGAAGAAGGCUCUCGGGUUGUAAAGCUCUUUUGUCCGGAAAGAAAAGCUUCGGGUUAAUACCCCGGGGUUCUGACGGUACCGGAAGAAUAAGCACCGGCUACCUUCGUGCCAGCAGCCGCGGUAAUACGAAGGGUGCAAGCGUUACUCGGAAUUACUGGGCGUAAAGCGUGCGUAGGUGGUUGUUUAAGUCUGAUGUGAAAGCCCUGGGCUCAACCUGGAAUGGCAUUGGAAACUGGGCAGCUAGAGUGCGGUAGAGGGUAGUGGAAGUCCCGGUGUAGCAGUGAAAUGCGUAGAGCUCGGGAGGAACAUCUGUGGCGAAGGCGACUGCCUGGACCAGCACUGACACUGAGGCACGAAAGCGUGGGGAGC
rnacentral:rRNA from 1 species